rnacentral:rRNA from 1 species
UGGAGCUGAAAUCAGUCGAAGAUACCAGCUGGCUGCAACUGUUUAUUAAAAACACAGCACUGUGCAAACACGAAAGUGGACGUAUACGGUGUGACGCCUGCCCGGUGCCGGAAGGUUAAUUGAUGGGGUUAUCCUCGCGGAGAAGCUCUUGAUCGAAGCCCCGGUAAACGGCGGCCGUAACUAUAACGGUCCUAAGGUAGCGAAAUUCCUUGUCGGGUAAGUUCCGACCUGCACGAAUGGCGUAAUGAUGGCCAGGCUGUCUCCACCCGAGACUCAGUGAAAUUGAACUCGCUGUGAAGAUGCAGUGUACCCGCGGCAAGACGGAAAGACCCCGUGAACCUUUACUAUAGCUUGACACUGAACACUGGUCCUUGAUGUGUAGGAUAGGUGGGAGGCUUUGAAGUGUGGACGCCAGUCUGCAUGGAGCCAUCCUUGAAAUACCACCCUUUAAUGGCUGGUGUUCUAACGUGGGCCCCUAAUCGGGGUUGCGGACAGUGUCUGGUGGGUAGUUUGACUGGGGCGGUCUCCUCCUAAAGAGUAACGGAGGAGCACGAAGGUCAGCUAAUCCUGGUCGGACAUCAGGAGGUUAGUGCAAUGGCAUAAGCUGGCUUGACUGCGAGCGUGACGGCGCGAGCAGGUGCGAAAGCAGGUCAUAGUGAUCCGGUGGUUCUGAAUGGAAGGGCCAUCGCUCAACGGAUAAAAGGUACUCCGGGGAUAACAGGCUGAUACCGCCCAAGAGUUCAUAUCGACGGCGGUGUUUGGCACCUCGAUGUCGGCUCAUCACAUCCUGGGGCUGAAGUAGGUCCCAAGGGUAUGGCUGUUCGCCAUUUAAAGUGGUACGCGAGCUGGGUUUAGAACGUCGUGAGACAGUUCGGUCCCUAUCUGCCGUGGGCGCUGGAGAAUUGAGGGGGGCUGCUCCUAGUACGAGAGGACCGGAGUGGACGCAUCACUGGUGUUCGGGUUGUCAUGCCAAUGGCAUUGCCCGGUAGCUAAAUGCGGAAGAGAUAAGUGCUGAAAGCAUCUAAGCACGAAACUUGCCCCGAGAUGAGUUCUCCCUGACUCCUUGAGAGUCCUGAAGGAACGUUGAAGACGACGACGUUGAUAGGCCGGGUGUGUAAGCGCAGCGAUGCGUUGAGCUAACCGGUACUAAUGAACCGUGAGGCUUAACCUUACAACGCCGAAG